AGAACUCCUCUGGCUGAACGGUCAAACUGGCAAAAUGCUUUUCCAUUUUGGUCUUCUGCUGGUUUGGAGCAGGCUAGCAUUGUUUGCCACACCACCAGGUGAACAGAAACAGGUGGAUCAAGAAGAAAAACUCUCUGGAAAGCUCCAGCACAAUCAACUCCUCAAUCUAGAACAAAGAAGGAACAAUCUGCACAACACUGAAGGAAAAACAAGCCGUAUCAGAAGACACAUCUUUGAAGCACUUUUUGUGACAGCAAAAAUAACGAGAAAACAUUCAUACUUAAUUGGGGAAUUGUCCACAAAACUACUUAGAAAAUCCAUAAAUGGAUGCUAUGAAGACGAGGCAGUGAUCCAAAGAUGACUAUGUAAUAACAUGUCAACAGUUCCAAUGAACAAUAUAUCAGGAGGGGAAAAAAAAAAGCUUUUUU